GUCUACGUGGAGUUUAAUAGGAUUGCUGGUAAGAACUUGAAAAGGGAAUUUUACGAGACCCUUGACCAACAUGAUGAUGAACCUCUUGAUGAACCUUCUGAAGCAACAAAGCUAUCAGAGCCAACUGAAAAACUGAACUUUGGUGCUUCAAGGACUACCCCUUUGGUUUGGAGAUGACUCUCCUGCUUUCUUUAAAAUGUGUUUGAUGUCCGAUGAUCACAGCUCAAUUCUUGAUCUGCCAGUGGGGAUUGUGAUAGUUGAAGAUGGGAAAAGAUGGGUCUCCCUCUUCAACUGGAUUCGCAAUCGAGGGAAAAUUAGUGAUGGACAAUCUACAUGACCUUCCUGAAAAAGCAAUGUGCCUUCUGUUCGAACUAAUAUAUGCAUUGCACCUGAGUUACCCAAAGUCACUGGGAUACAUGUUUGACUUUAUUCAGCGGAUUCUACUUUCCUUGGGGCAGAAAGACCUGCAGCCUAAAACACAGUCGUUGGCAAACCAGCUGUUUGGCUAAAAUCGAGAAACUUUUUUCACUUUUUCACUUUUUUUUUUUUUUUUUUUUGUAAGCUUACUGUUAAACAUGAGCUCAAUAUUUUAAUGUGACUUAAAAAUGCAGCUUGCUGUUAAAAAUAUGAGCUACUGUUUUCUAAAAAUGUGAGCUUAAGUGUUAAGUGCUGUUCAAGUGUCUUAAUGUGACUUAAAAAUAUGAGCUUGAUAUUAAUGUUUCUUAAAUUAAUGUAAAUGUAUAAACCAAAUAAAGCUAUUAAUGGAAAAAC